rnacentral:rRNA from 1 species
CCUACGGGGAGCUGCAGUGAGGAAUAUUGGUCAAUGGCCGGAAGGCUGAACCAGCCAUGCCGCGUGAAGGUCAGUGCCCUAUGGGCGUUAAACUUCUUUUGUGCGGGAGCAAUAAUGGUCACGUGUGGCCAGACGAGAGUACCGUACGAAUAAGCAUCGGCUAACUCCGUGCCAGCAGCCGCGGUAAUACGGGGGAUGCAAGCGUUAUCCGGAUUUAUUGGGUUUAAAGGGUGCGUAGGCUGUGAGGUAAGUCAGCGGUGAAAUGCCCCCGCUCAACGGGGUGAAGUGCCAUUGAUACUGGCUGGCUGGAAUGCGGAUGCCGUGGGAGGAAUGUGUGGUGUAGCGGUGAAAUGCAUAGAUAUCACACAGAACACCGAGUGCGAAGGCAUCUCACGAAUCCGCGAUUGACGCUGAUGCACGAAAGCGUGGGUAUCAAACAGGAUUAGAUACCCUGGUAGUC